UCAGUAACACGUAGUCAACCUGCCCUGGAGACCCGAACAACCCCGGGAAACUGGGAUUAAUGCGGGAUAGGUCAUCUCAUCUGGAAGGAGAGAUGGCCGAAAGGGGUGCGCGGGCUUCUUCCGUGUACUUGUUCCAGGAUGGGACUGCGACCGAUCAGGCUGUUGGCGAGGUAAUGGCUCACCAAACCAGUAACCGGUACGGGCCUUGAGAGAGGGGGCCCGGAGAUGGACACUGAGAGAAGGGUCCAGGUCCUACGGGGCGCAGCAGGCGCGAAACCUUCGGGAUGCGCGAAAGCGUGACGAGGUUAAUCCGAGUGGUCCCCGCUGAGGGGAUCUUUUGUCGGCUGUAAAAAGGCCGGUGAAUAAGGGGAGGGCAAGUCUGGUGUCAGCCGCCGCGGUAAUACCAGCUCCUCGAGUGGUCGGGGCGAUUAUUGGGCCUAAAGCAUCCGUAGCCGGUUCCGUAGGUCUUCUGUCAAAUCCAACGGCUCAACCGUUGGCCCGCAGAAGAUACCGCGGGACUAGGAGGCGGGAGAGGUGGGCGGUACUCCACGUGUAGGGGUAAAAUCCUUUUGUCUGUGGAUUA
rnacentral:rRNA from 1 species